rnacentral:rRNA from 1 species
UACGGAGGGUGCAAGCGUUAUCCGGAAUCACUGGGUUUAAAGGGUGCGUAGGCGGUGGCGUAAGUCAGUUGUGAAAUUCCCCGGCUUAACCGGCGGGACUGCGAUUGAUACUGCGUUACUUGAAUCAGGUUGAGGUAGGCGGAAUGUGACAUGUAGCGGUGAAAUGCUUAGAUAUGUCAUUGAACACCGAUUGCGAAGGCAGCUUGCUGGACCUGUAUUGACGCUGAGGCACGAAAGCGUGGGGAGCAAACAGG